AAGAGAGGAGAGGAAGAAGAAAAGAAGGGAGAGAGAUGAAACCGAGAAAAGAGACAGAGAGAGAAGAGUAGAGAGCGACAAAGGUUGCUGGAAAAGUAGCCGUUGGCGGGUAAACUCGGUGAAGGGAAGGAGUAGAGGAGGAUUAAGCAUGUGGGAGUUCUACCAUAGGGAGAUCUUUGCAUGGAGAGGUCAUUGGAUUUCGGAUAAAGGAAGACAAGCACAGACAUCGUUAGAGGAUUCCAAUCCUUUCUUUGGAUCUAGAAUUUAGCUUCAAAAGGUGUUCUUCAGAUCAAGAAUUUAGCUUCAAAAGGUGAGUGGAUAAACCAAAAUUUCCUUGCUAAAAGUCUGAUUUUCUGUUGUAUGUAAUGCAUGGAAGCUUAUUGUGGCGUUUGAUGUGUGUUUUGGUGAAAU